AUUGAACGCUGGCGGCAGGCCUAACACAUGCAAGUCGAGCGGAUGAAGGGAGCUUUCUCCUGGAUUCAGCGGCGGACGGGUGAGUAAUGCCUAGGAAUCUGCCUGGUAUUGGGGGAUAACGUCCGGAAACGGGCGCUAAUACCGCAUACGUCCUGAUGGUGAAAGUGGGGGAUCUUCGGACCUCACGCUAUCAGAUGAGCCUAGGUCGGAUUAGAUAGUUGGUGGGGUAAAGGCCUACCAAGGCGACGAUCCGUAACUGGUCUGAGAGGAUGAUCAGUCACACUGGAACUGAGACACGGUCCAGACUCCUACGGGAGGCAGCAGUGGGGAAUAUUGGACAAUGGGCGAAAGCCUGAUCCAGCCAUGCCGCGUGUGUGAAGAAGGUCUUCGGAUUGUAAAGCACUUUAAGUUGGGAGGAAGGGCAGUAAGUUAAUACCUUGCUGUUUUGACGUUACCAACAGAAUAAGCACCGGCUAACUUCGUG
rnacentral:rRNA from 1 species